rnacentral:rRNA from 1 species
UACGUAGGGGGCAAGCGUUGUCCGGAAUCAUUGGGCGUAAAGCGCGUGUAGGCGGUUCAGUAAGUCAGCUGUGAAAGUCCAGGGCUCAACCCUGGGAUGCCGGUUGAUACUGCUGGGCUAGAGUGCGGAAGAGGCGAGUGGAAUUCCUGGUGUAGCGGUGAAAUGCGCAGAUAUCGGGAAGAACACCCGUGGCGAAGGCGGCUCUCUGGGACGGUACUGACGCGUAAGGCGGCGAAAGCGUGGGGAGCAAACAGG